CUGAGAGCUGAAGUCAUCAAGGAAAUAUGUUUCUAAGUGUAGAAUAUGUCCUGGGUUCUUACUAAGAGGCGGUUCCUCUUCAUUCUUUCAGAGAUGGGGCUGUCUCUCCAUGAAAAGUCACAUGAUGUUCCUGGGGGGAGCUCCUCUGCCCAGCUCUUGUUUCAUUAGGCCCAAACUUGUCACAAGAUAGCCUUUUGUGAAGUCACAAAAGCUAGCUGCCUCCCCACAGGAACAGGGACCAGGACAACCAGGGACUAGUGGGCAUGACUUGAGUGGACAGAGGGUUUCAGAAGUGGCCUUUGGACUCUGGAGAGGCAUGUGAAGUUUAGAGAUGCUCAGGUUGUUGAGGGUGAGGGGGUCUGUUGGAGACCUGGUGAUGAGGACAGUUUCUCAGGUCUUGGUCAUUGCCAGGAGGAAAGGAGGCACAGGAGGUGAGCAUUCAGCCAGCACCCCAGGGACUACUUGGCCUGAAGCACUCACCCCCCCUCCCAGCAGCCUAAUGAAGAUGCCAUCUUGAAGGACGACAUCUUCUUCCCAGAGGGCCUGGAGCAGCCCAGCAGACUCCACCAGGUCUGUUGACACCUGCUCUGAGGAGGGAUGAGGAAGCAUCUAAGCCCCCCUCCUUUGGAAUCUGGGGUUGGAGGUGCUGGAGCAGGGGGUCUCAUUCCUCAUCUUGCCUUCCCUAGCCUACCCUACUCUUUUUAGACAGCUCAUGUCUCUUUUUGUGAACCCCCUGCUUGCAUCCUUCUCCAGGUAAGAGGGAGAUGGGGACGAAGAGCUCUUCUGCAGGCCCAGACCUUCAAUGUGGUACCUGGGCACAAUCUGGGAAGGCUUUCUGCAGGUGGGGUGAGGGACAGGCUGCAAAGGAGAGGAAAGAAAUAAAUGAAGGGGACCACAGUAAGAACCCAAACUGGGAUUUCCCUCAGCCUCCUUAGAACUGCAGGUGCAUCUCUCUCCUGCUGGUUACUCUUUUGCUCCUUCCUUCCUUCAUUCAUUGAGCACCAUGUGCUGGGCAGGAAAUUGCAUUCUGCCUCAUGUUCACAAGCUCCUAGAGGAGACAGCUACACAAAUAGCCAUAUAGUGUGACAAAGGCUGCAAAGAACAUGUUCUGGGACCCCAAAGGCUACUUAAGAGGGUCAGAGCAUCCAGAACAGUUGACAUGUAGCUCUUUAAAGGCCAAAUCUAUGUUUCCUAACCCUAGAUAUGCUUACGUAGGAAAUAAAUGCUUUUUAUAGGAAAAAAUAUUUACUUUGCUCUUACACAAUGCUUCAAUGUUGUGCUUAUGAGCCCCACAUCCACCUGUAAAAACAUUUUUCUG
rnacentral:lncRNA from 1 species